rnacentral:rRNA from 1 species
GGCGAACGCUGGCGGCGUGCUUAACACAUGCAAGUCGAACGGAAAGGCCCUGCUUUUGUGGGGUGCUCGAGUGGCGAACGGGUGAGUAACACGUGAGUAACCUGCCCUUGACUUUGGGAUAACUUCAGGAAACUGGGGCUAAUACCGGAUAGGAGCUCCUGCUGCAUGGUGGGGGUUGGAAAGUUUCGGCGGUUGGGGAUGGACUCGCGGCUUAUCAGCUUGUUGGUGGGGUAGUGGCUUACCAAGGCUUUGACGGGUCGCCGGCCUGAGAGGGUGACCGGCCACAUUGGGACUGAGAUACGGCCCAGACUCGUACGGGAGGCAGCAGUGGGGAAUAUUGCACAAUGGGCGGAAGCCUGAUGCAGCAACGCCGCGUGCGGGAUGACGGCCUUCGGGUUGUAAACCGCUUUCGCCUGUGACGAAGCGUGAGUGACGGUAAUGGGUAAAGAAGCACCGGCUAACUACGUG